AUUGAACGCUGGCGGCAGGCCUAACACAUGCAAGUCGAGCGGAUGAAGGGAGCUUGCUCCUGGAUUCAGCGGCGGACGGGUGAGUAAUGCCUAGGAAUCUGCCUGGUAGUGGGGGAUAACGUCCGGAAACGGGCGCUAAUACCGCAUACGUCCUGAGGGUGAAAGUGGGGGAUCUUCGGACCUCACGCUAUCAGAUGAGCCUAGGUCGGAUUAGCUAGUUGGUGGGGUAAAGGCCUACCAAGGCGACGAUCCGUAACUGGUCUGAGAGGAUGAUCAGUCACACUGGAACUGAGACACGGUCCAGACUCCUACGGGAGGCAGCAGUGGGGAAUAUUGGACAAUGGGCGAAAGCCUGAUCCAGCCAUGCCGCGUGUGUGAAGAAGGUCUUCGGAUUGUAAAGCACUUUAAGUUGGGAGGAAGGGCAGUAAGUUAAUACCUUGCUGUUUUGACGGUACCAACAGAAUAAGCACCGGCUAACUUCGUG
rnacentral:rRNA from 1 species